AAUUAAUCUCUUCAUUUUAAUACUAAUAACAAUAAUGAUAAUAAUAAUAAUGAAAUAAAGCAUAUAUUAAUGCAUUAUUCUGCUUGACCUUAUUCUACAUUCCUAAUCCUAUCUAAUACCUAAACUGAACAAGGAACUUACUAAUUGUUAAUAAGCAGUAAACUACUUAGGAAGUUUAUUGAGUAAAAAGUCAUUAUUAAUACUGAAUAUGUGUUCCCUAUACUAAAGUGUUACCUGUACUGUUACUAUUUAUAUAACUUUUUUAAAGUAAAUAUUAAAUUGGUUAAAUUUAACAUUAAAUCUAUUUUUCUUUUUUCAUUAUAGCUUUAAGAUUUUAUAUCAACUUUCAAAUAAUUCCUCAACAGGUUUGAAGAUUUCUCAGUUCUUUGCUUAUAUUUCAAGGAUCACUGGCUGGUAAUAGGACAGGCGUGGUCGGACAGUGCUACAACCAUGCCAACCACGAUACAAACAAUCUUGUUGAAAGGAACCUUAGACUGGAUCUUAUCAGCAUUCUCAUCAAGAAGACAGAUGGAUACUUCCAGGUCAUUCAUGAUUUACAGGCAGACAGUUUGAAGAAUGAAAAAUGCUUCUUUGAAGACUGUUUCUGUAGCUGCCCAAUAGGAGUCAGAGGACAUCGCUGUAAACACCUUGUACUUGUACUUACUGAUCAGGUGAACACGAUUCUCAGAAGUUUCCUGAUUUGAAUUAUCAAAUAAACGGACGUGCUAGUGUAAUUAAGCAAAAUAAGCUUUACUCCAUUCUGUGCUUUGACAGAAAAGAGGUACAUGUAAGUGUGCAUAUGAGAAAUUAAGUGCAAGAGACUUGUUUUUUUUGGUUUUGUUUAUUUUACUAUGUAUUGUUUUAAAACAAUGAAAAAUUAUGUAAUCUUUAAUUAUAAAUUAAGCAUUACUCUGCUGUCUGAAUGCGUUCUCUAACAGUGAUAUAUUGUAUAUUUAAAUCAAUAAACUGUAACAUUACUUAAUUGAGAUGACAAUGUUUGAAACAAUUACAAUUCAUUUGUUAUUGUGUUCACUGGAUCAGUGUACCUCUACUUAAACUGACUGAUUAAAAAUGAGAUGACAACAUCUACAACUUGUGGUCCAAAUCUAUGGGUCAGCAGACUAAAAGGUGAAUCCUCUCCCAGUUUUUUCCCUCAGCAAGCACUGGUGAGUACAGAGUGUAUUCCUGCAAACACAAAUGGACAGAUUUGUAAGCAAGAAUCAAGUAAAAAAAAAAAAAA